rnacentral:tRNA from 3 species
CGCGGGGUGGAGCAGUCUGGUAGCUCGACGGGCUCAUAACCCGUAGGUCGCAGGUUCAAAUCCUGCCCCCGCUACCA